AAAAAACAUACACGUAAUAUUUAAUGUCACUUUUUCUUUCUCACAGCAUCUGUCUCUCCUACUACUGAGUCUGCAGAUGUAACCACAACAACAGUCUCCCCUACUGCUGGACCUGCAGAUGAAACCACAACAACAGUCUCUCCUAGUACUACACCAGCAGACAUUACCAC